AGAGAACUUAGCUUGUGCUCAAGGUUGGAAUGAGGAAAUAUAGGUCAGUGGGUGCUGGGCUCAGGGUCCACCUGGAUUCCUCUGUAGGUCUUCCUGGGUACCAGGUCAUCCNCUACUGUGGGACCCUGACAAAGUCACGUGACCACAUGGGAAUGUUGGGUUCCCUCUGUUGUAGAGAUGGAACAUGUCUAAGCAGAAAGGGAAGGAUACCACAGAGAUGGAUGGCUCUUGAAGACCAAGGACAAGCAGAUAUCAGAGCCCAGUCCAGAAGUGGCAGGGAAGUGAGGCCUGGCCCUGAUGGCUGUGCCAAGAAGAUGCGUGGUAUGGCGCACAUCUGAGUCGUGGAUCUGGUGCUUGUCGGCCUGCUCAUCUAAGAAGUCAAACAUGUACUUGAUGGCCAGAGGUAGGGCUGAGCCACGGUGCGCCGUGCUGAAGAUGGUCUCGAACAGGUCAUCCACGAACUUUUGUAGUGUUCCCUGCAGGGUGAGUAGUGAGCUUCAGGGCUGCCCAGGGCACCACCCUUCUAGGACCUGGACAGGUCUGUAGGAGCUCAGGAUUUGGUCAUGUGUUCUGGGCAUUUUCCCAUACACCUACCUUGGUGGCCAGCAGCCUGGUUAGGUAGAUCUCAGAGACCAUCUUGCUGCCACGGUCGCCUUCACGUUGGUCCAGGUGGUCGUGGUUCUUCACCAGGUGCCACAGUUUUGUUCCACUUUCCAGGUCUGGCGUGAUCAUGGGUGUUCGUGAGCGUAGGCUGUCGGGGCUACUGGCUGUACGCAGCAUGCUCUCUGCAGGAAUAGCCUGUCAGCUGGCAGGGAUGUGUCCCUCACCCAUGGCCAGACCCUGCCCUACCCCAGCCAGUUUUCCUUCAGAGGGCACCAAGGCUCCUGCUAGGUAUGUUGGGGAAUAGCCACUGUGGUCACAUGAGAUCCCUUGUUUAUAGGCUAUGAGGACAGGCAUUGCUUCAGAACUGACAGGAAGGCCAAGAACCACGAGCCACAUGUCCCCUUAGUCCUGGCAUCCAACACACUGGCAGAACAGUAGGAAGGGCAUCCCAUCCAAGUCCACUGCCCACCCACUUCCUGCUUGCAACCCUGCCGGUCCCUCACCGUAUCUGCUGAGGGACUUAGUGAAGGUAGAGGAGUUGGAGAUGUUGUAGGCAGAUGUCUGCUUGGGUACUAGUGCCACCGAUGACCCAUCCGUCACCUGUGGGCAGACAUCAAGGAUACAAGUCCCAGGGUGCCACUAAGUGUCCAGCCCAACCUGGGAGGAUCUAAAGACAUCCGUGGUUCUUCCCCUCAAGGCAAGUCAUGCCACCACUCUGAACCUCCACUGGGAUGGCUCCAGGGCAGAUAAUUACUUGGGCAUGGCACAGUCCACACCUGACGAGGCACGUUCCAGUUUAAGGGAAAGAAAGCCCACACAGUGGUCCCUGGACGGUAGCGUUACCUGAUAGUGAGCUAGUGUGUUCAGCCUCUUCCAGUCAUUGUCAAUUUUAGUGGUGACGUCCUCAUCCUGAAGAAUGAUGCGUGCCAUGCGACCCUGGCGCCACUCUACAGGAAGUAGGGUAUUAGAGGUGGGAUCCCCCUUCCUUCUCUCCCUCCUUUUCUUCCUCUCUACCUUCUAUCCAAGCUCCUCAUUCUACUGGCACAUAGAACAAGGGAGUGGGGGAAGAGAGGAAGACAGGGAGGGGCUUGCUCUGCACUUGAGGAAGAGCCUGGGAUAGAGCCAGAAGCUGAGGCUCCCCCACUGGAUAGCUACACUCACAGGCUCAGAGGUGGCAUAGUCUGCCCAUGGGGUUGGCCAUUCAUCUGGUGCCUGGUUGAGCCCAAGAGGUAGGCCCUGCUCUACCCAGGUUCCAGACAUAUCUCCUUGGGAUCCCAGAACUGUGUCCCACAUUUUUUGACUUUUGACUUUCCCCAGUGCAAAGUUCUCUUCCUUCAGCUCAGACAGCCCUGGCUUCCCAGAGAAUACCAAACUUACACCCAGCUGCUUCUCCAUGGGUCUCCUCCAUCACUCUACUCUGGCCUGCAAACCGUAGCUUAUUCUGUCACCUCCCUUGAAUGCCUUCCUACCAUAGGACAGCCCACCACUCACCCAGGUCCAUGUCCCCGGCCUUCGGCCGCUGUGAGUAAGGCACACCCUUGUACACAGCAUCCAGGAGCUUCUCCUUGACCUGGGUCACGGUGUCACAGUUCAGCCCCUUCACAGGAACCUCCGGCGCAUUCUCAUGUUCAGGGUUCACACAGUUCAGGGUCUGUGUGUGAGGAGGGUGGUAUUGUAGCACCAGUCACACCCCUCACUUCUGCCAGUCCUGUCUACUCAGUUCAGUUCACCGGAAGGGGAGGAUCCAGGAAGGGGGGGGGGCGGAGUGGUGGGUGGGCUCACCAGGGUCUUGUAGUCAAUCUGCUGCCGAAUGAGCUUGUCUUCGCUCAGAGAGUAGCGGGCCUCCCCUGUGAUGGCGUCAAUAGGGCCCUUCUCCAUCUGCUGCUUGAUGGCACAGUACAGCAUAAAGAGCGGCUCCCCAGCACACUCCUGUGUGGGGUGGUAGGGUAUGAGGCUGGGAUAGGACCUGUCAGCCCUUUAAGGGCUAUCUAGCUAUUUCCAGAAGCUCCAUCUCCUCUUGAAGGCAAGCCUGUCUCUGGAGCCAGCACCAGGCAAGGAUAUCUAGUGAGCGAUACCCCCAGUAUCCUUAUGACUGUAGACACAGAAAUCCUUGAAAUACUACCCUCACUCACACCAAGUGCGAUCGUGAUCUGCUAGAUGACUAGAGGCCAACCUAGCCAGAAGUCCAGCAUCACGAAGAACAUGCUUUCACCACAAUCACUAGCACACACACACUGACUCCUGAUGUUCCUUAUCACCAAGGGACAGAGGAACCCACAGACUGGUGGCAAGGAGAAACAGGGACUGGCAGGGUAGCCUCUGCACACUUGGCAAGAGCCUGCAUUGUCCCUACCCUCAGCUGUCAUCUGGCUUUGUGCACUGCAGGUGUGGGGCCAGAAGUAGGGCCACAUUACUCAGCAAGCUGAGCGGAGCAAAUGCUGGAGCUCAGGCUGGUCCCAUGGCCCUGAAGGCCCACCCCUGACUGUAGCAGUCACUCCUCACAGAGGCUGCUGGCUGAGAAUGCCUAGGCCAGAGGCUAGCCCAGGUGGGCCCUUGGCAAGCCCAUGGUGACUCUGUACCCAGAUGUCCUAGCCCCUUGUUAGCAUCUGAGGCAAUUAAAGAGACAGCUGCUAAGGAAGGAACAGCCAGGAGCAUAGAUCAUCCCUAGACCUUCAGACAACACGCCUAUCUUUGAAAUUAUGUUUCAUUUGCAAACUUGGCUUCAUUAAGUCAGCUAGGAAGUGGGAGGGAGGGGGAGCAGGUUGGGACUCAGAGCCAUCAAUAGCUGCCUGUUUUGGCAAACACUCCCUCAUAAGGUUUCCCCAAGUUAGAAUGCCUGCCCAUAGGUUCCUGAGCAGAGUAAAAGGAGCAGAGGGGGCAGGCCAGUGCCCAAGCCUUGGAUGCAGACUUGCCCAACCCUAAUGCUUCUGCCCCAGGAAAGCCAGGGCUUCUGAGAGAAAGCUCAGACCCAGAAGGACCUGAAGGCCUGGACUAUCACUUUCACCAGGCUUUCCAAGACGGUGAAAGAGCAGUCAGAGCCCAGAGCCCAGGGAAGAGGCGGGCCCAGAACAAAGCAGACCUAAGCCUAAGGGCUCUCUCUCUCUGGGCCUCAUUUCCCUGUCCCAUUACAGGGGAAAGGUAGGGCCCCAGCUUCCUGUCAACCCUGCUGAGAAGGUGUAGAGAAUAGUUCUUUCAUAGAGAGGCAACAGAGCAGAGGAGCAUGGCAGUAAAUGAAGCAGGGCACCAGCUUUCCAUCUUCAAGGAAAGCCAAAGUUAACCCCUACCCAUACCAUGCACUUCACCUGUAGCAUAAACACUACAGAUGAUGGAACGUUGGUAUUUAAAAUACCACCCCCCACCCCUUUACCAAACUAAAAAAAAAAAGAACCCUAGAAAAUAUACAAUUGUGGCUUCAAAGAAAAUGAAGGUGGCUAGUCAAGCAAGUUGUUUAACUUGUAGAAUAAACGGCAGUCAAGGAAGCGUGCUGUCCGUACUCAUGCACAUCUCCAGGGAUGGUAUCACAGCACCCAGGCCAGGAAGGCUCUAAGUCAGCAGAGCUUAUGCUGCAAAUGAGGAUGCACCUGUACUCAUUCUGGAAGCCCUCACAGCUCCAGCAGAAGGCUGCUGUGUUGGGGAGAAUUCACAUUCCCCUAACACCUCUGCCAGUGUGACAGAGGACAGUGAAAGUGACAUUACUGUGUGCCACCUGAAGACAUGGGCCUAACCCUCCUGGGGUGGGGUACUAGGACCCUCUGUGAAAAUCACUGAGGGUAGGGGGUGAACUUCGGACCAGCACGUCAGUACAACCAGAACUCAAGACAAAAAAUGUGAACAAAACCUGUUCCUCUACCUGUAGACAUUUGCUUCCACUCAGGUCAGUGACCCACACUGGAUAGUGAUGGCUGUGACCACCAGAGCUGGGGCCCUGCCCCCUUACCUCACAUUGUUGACAGUGUAGUGACAGGCAGGCAGAACUACCUCCCUCAUACAUUCUAGUCCCAUGCAUCUGUGAGCAGGGGAUGGGCUCAGAUCCUGCCCAAGUGCAGACUCAUGAGAACACCAUGCAUUCUGCUUUCUUUCCCUUCUGUUCUCCCCAGGCAAACUGAGCUGUGUAUGUGGGAUGGCUAUGCUGGCCAGGCAGGGCGAUUCUCAUUCUAGGAAGGGUCUGCUCAUGCUUCUCAGAGAGUUCUCAUGGCUUAACACACCUGCAUUUCUAGUUGUCCAUUACAUACUGUGUGCUGUAGUUGACUACAAGCGACUGACCCGAAGGAAAGCACAGUAGCAGUGCAGGCCACACACCUGGGUCAAACCAGCCAGCAAUGCAAGGUCUUCAUGGAUAAUUCUGCUUAGAGGGCAUCCCCACAUCAGUCAAAUUCAGAGGCAGAGAUGAUAAAGGUGGUACGGUGGAGGGAGAGAAGAGGGACAAGGAGUGUACCAUGAAGACAAGACCAACGGUGCAGAAGAUGUUGACAAGGGCUGCACUUUACAGAUGUACUAACUCUAGUGACUUGUACACACGCCAGAGGCUGAAGCACGAAGGUCAUGAGUUCCAGGACAGCCUGGGCUAUCUAGGGAGACCUUGUCUCAAAUAGUAAGAUAAGGGUUGGUGAGAUAACUCAGCAAGUAAAGAAGCCUGCUGCCAACUCUGCCAACUUGACUCUGAUCCCUGGGACCCACAUGGUGAAAGGAGAGAACCCACUCCUGCAAGUUGUCCUCCCACUUCUGCGUGUGCAUUGUGGUAGACACCCACAUAAUAAAGAAAAAAAUGUAAUUUC
rnacentral:lncRNA from 1 species